CGCAAAUCCUUCGCUUUUUUUACUUUCUAUUUUUCUUUAAAUUUCUUAAUCUGUGUAGUGAAGCUUUUAUGUGUUCUGUGUAGUCUGCUUCAGUUAAUUUAGUUCAAACUAUGUAGCUUAGGAUUGAUAUGAAAACUAUUGCUUUGAGUAUUUUUAAUUUUUUAGGAUUAAUGUAUGGGUUUAAGGUUGUAUACUAGUUUGAUGCGGUCGUUAGUAGAACUUAGCUCUAAUUCAGAUUAGUUUGAGUAAUGUUGACAUGAACAUAGUUAUGAACUAAGUACUCAAAGUUCCAAAAUAUUCACUACCUAAGCCUAGUUUUACAAAUGCCCAUUUUUAGCUUUGUUGUGAUGACUAGUUGAACUUAGGAAUUAAUAGCUCUAAAUUUAAGUUCAAACGUUAUUUGGGUAAGUUGUUUAGUUUCCUCUUAAUGUUUGUUUCAUUCUGUAAAUUGUAACAACCCGUUUGGUUGUUAUUGCGUUUUUACCGUUUUGCCCCCAUCGACUAGUCCCCGAGCCUUGUUAGUACUAUUUUGAUCCGCGGGGGCCCGUGGCAUAGUUCCCUAGGCAUCUUUUUGAGUUUUGGAAUGACUUAGAAAAUUUGGUCUUAAAGCGAAAAUUGUUUGACUCGAAAUUGACUUUUGGAUAAACAUGCCCGUAAUCGAAUUCCGACAGUUCUAUUAGGUCCGUAUGGUGAUUUAUGACUUAGUGGUGUCAUUGGUUUGGUUCCCGAAGGGUUCAGGUGUGAUUUGAGUCAUUGGUUGAGAAACUAGUUAAGUUGGAAUUGGAGUUGACCACGGUCAACAUCGGGUCAAGAUGAUCCCGUGUCGAUGUUUUGAAAGUAUCAAUAAGUUUGUAUGAUGAUUUUGGACAUUUCCACAAAGUUUGGUUAGAUUCCGAUGAGUUUUGGAUAAGUUUGAGUUGUAUGGUGAUUGUAUUCGAUUUCGACGUCGAUUUGAGCAUAAAGGGUACCAUAUUGAGCAAACAGCCUUUGAUUCGUGUUUCGACUAAACCAUUAUAUCCGUAUCGUAAUUUCGGAACCAUAGCAACUGAAAUCAUCAAGUUUCGACUUCGUAUGAGGGAUUUAUAGUCAUUUUAUUAAGAAUUGGGUUGCCAGAUUUUUCAGAUUAAUUACGAAAUUGCCAUUGAAUUAGUAUUUAAAAAUCGACACUAUUCCAAAUAUUGAAACCAACAUAUCUCAUUCAUUAUAAGGUCAAAUGGAGUGAUUCAAAAUCCUAAAUUGAGUGAAAUUUCUCAAGGAAUCCAUUGGAGGCAUCAAGAGCAAGUUUUGGGAUCGUUUGGCACCAGAAACGAGGUAGCACAGCUGGGUGUUUUUGCUAUUUAAUGUUGUUUGGGUUUCUCUCAUCUUGUAAGCUUGGGUAUGGGAGAAUUCAAGGAUUUUCUUCAAGUUUCUUCCAUGGGACUUUCUUGAUCUCGAGGCUCAAAGGAAAGGAAAGGCUAAGGUGUGAUUGUUGGUGAUAUUGUUGUUCGGCCUUCCAGGUAGGUUAUGGCUUACCUUUGGUGAGACUUCGUUUAGCGAAGUAUAUAUUUAGAUGAUAUUGUCAGAGAAAGCAUGUAAACCUUCGGGUAUGAAGUUAGGUUGGAUAUUGUCUUAGGUUGGGCCUUGUUGUGUGAUUGGGGCUAGCCACCCCGUUGUACUGUGACUUGAUUGCUCUAUUGUUAUUGGAUUGAUGCCGCAUGGUAAUAGUAGAUAUUGGAGACUAUUGAUAUAUCUUGUUCAUGAUAUUGUGGUACCUCACUUGUUGAUGUUGAUACAGGGAGUAUUCUUUAUGACUUGUGUAGUCUUUCCUGAUAUGGUUGGCAUACCCCUGCUUAGUACUUGUGGUAUUGAUUUGAUUAUUGAUGUUAGCUCAUACAUUGCAUGCAUUCUCAUCCUUCAUGAUAUACUGUUGAUACAUUGAUGAUACUUGAGAAAACACUGUGAUGAGCUGAGCUCAGUUUGCAUGAGAGUGACGUGAGAGUUCGAUAUUCGAUGGUUGCCUCGGAAUUGUGGAUUGAGUGAAGAGUGAUGUGAGAGUCUGAUAUUCGAUGGUUGUCCCAGAAUCGUGGAUUGAGUGACACGGUUGCCGAGGUUUGUGCCGGAAUUGUGAGGUACAUAGACUUCGCGGGUCCCCCAUGGGUUAUGCUACCUAGACGUCGAUACUUCCGUCCAGAGUACAUGUGUACACAGCAUUGUAUUGCAUUUGCAUUCAUACAUCAUAGCAUUGCAUUGCAUUAUAGCUUAUAUUGUGAUGAUCUGGUGAUUUACUUGUGUUGUUUAGUUUCGGAUUGGAUAUAUUGAGACUUGGCACACUUGAGUUUAGAUGCUUCAACCUAGGUGAUGACCUGUACUUGGUUCUAGCUUGUGUUUGACUCAUACUUGUUGAUUUAUCUGCUUAUCUUGCUUUAUUGUCUGAAUUAUGUUAGCUAUACUUAGUCAGCCUAUGAUACCUACCAGUACUGUGGUUUUGUACUGACCUGCACUUGCUGAAUUCUUUUAUGAAUGUAGAACUCUAGGUUGGAUCUACUUCUGUUUCCCGUGGCUGAUAGUUUCUCCGAGAUUUGCUUAGAGUCCACAGGGUGAGCAUGAGACAUCUGCCGCCUUGAAGACCCUUCUUCAUUUAUGUCUUAUAUUCUAUUCCGAGACAUACUCAGACUUUAUGUAUUAUUGAUAUUCCAGACUUGCAGAUUCUAGUUAGAUGCUCUUGUAUGGACUAGACCAGACUCUGGGUGUAUUUUCUUACUUUUGCGUAUUUUCCAUAUUAUUACUGUCAGACUUAUGUGAUUUUAUUUCUUCCGCUUAUUUUAGCAAUUCUUUGUGUUUUUACUAUUGUUGGGUUGAGGUUUCGCUUACCAAGGUGGGAAAGGUAGGUGCUCGCGCGACUUAGUUGAAUUGGGUCGUGAUAUAAAUGCUAUCUAGUUCUUAUAAUGUAAUGUUAGAUGCAAUUUUGUUUGAAUGAAGUGUUUGAAGUAUGGCUUUAAGGAAUGUCACUACUUUGUUUUCGUUUGAAUAAGAGUUGCUGAACUUAAUGGUUUUCCUGAUCUGUCAUGUCGUAGGAUUAGCUAGCAUAGCAUUGCUUGAGUUUAGAUAUGAACAUAAAAGGGACUAUUUCUAUUUAUUGAUUUAAAAGCAGCUUUUCACAAGAUGUUAUUCUUUAUUUGUUAUCAGCCAAUCUUCCCUUUACUUGGUCCAAAUCUGAAAUGGUUUCAAACAUACCUGUUUUACCCUCAUACUAUUAAGAAUAGUCCAUUUGACUAUGUCUUGGGUUAAUUUUGAACUAAAAUAUGGUCAUAUAAGGACUAAGAGUAUGAUGAACCUGGUGCCUCCCUCUUCUGUCAUAUUGUGUGUUUAGUACAUAUGUCUAAGUGUUAUUGUGUUUGAGUUACUGGUUGUUGUCCUGUUUUUAUGUCAUAUUCAUUUUCUCUGAAUAAGAUCAUUAUUUGAUUUAAAAACCACUUAUAAGGACUAGACCAAAAGUACCUUGUUUUUAUUUGACUGAGUACCAACUUUGGAGAUUGAGUUUGUGAUAAUCAAACUGAUUAUAUGAUCAAGUUCGGAAUGCUAAGUGUUGAACUUUUUUCUUUUUUGCUUCAUCUGCUAGUGAUCUCUUUAUUUUGUUUAAGAUACUGUUCUCAAACCAUUUAACUAGACCAUAAAGAAAUCCUUGUCCAAGUGUGAAAUCUGUUUCAUCAACUAGUAAUGCCUUCACCAAGUGUGCAAAGCCUGUUAAAUUAAGAAUGAGAGCCAUCUUCUAACUUUUUCUUUCUUUCUUCUUAUGAUUGGACUUGGUUUAUUCAGAAGUGGAAAUGAAGACUUCCCUUAACUCUAUGUUGAAAAUUGUUAGCUUACAAGUCCUGUAUUUUAAGUCUUCUCUGUUUCUAUUUAGUGUCACCUGAUUUAGAUAUACACAAUUGACUUGUUUAAGUUGGUUUGAAUUGAAGAGGUUGAGUGUCAACUCAAUAUCACCUCAGCUCACCCCCAGUUAGAAAAACAGUCUUUAUCUAUUAAGCAUUAAGUUUUCCCAACCUGCUAUGUAUCUGUGUCUGUGUAUGUUUCUUGUUUUAUCACUUUAAGUUGUUAAUGGGAAUUUGUUUAUCCAAAACUGGGAUUGACGUUUAACCUGUUUUUCCAUUAUAGUUUAAGUGUAGCUCAUGAUGAUUGUGAUUGGAGAGUGAUGUUCUAUUCAGGUGUUACACUAAAUACCAGGACUAUAGGAAGCUAAUUUUCAAAUAAGGACAUAUUGCUAAUACUCCUAUUUAAUUGAACUUCACAACAUAAAAGUUAUUACUUAAUCCCCUUCCUUAGGAUUCACUAUCAUAGCCUAGAUAAGUUAAUUAGAACGUCUUUUUCCUGCUUAAGUUUUCUUUGUUAUAUUAUCAUGUGGCUGGAAAUCUUGUUUAUUAACCAAUACUAAAGAGGAAAACCAGAGUGUUUAAGGGGGAUUGGUUUAGUCAGUGUUUUGAUUUCUGUUUAACAUAAGUUAGUACUAGUUGGGAUUGUGAAUUCACGUUAUGGGAGUAACACAGGUUUUUCUUGAAGUAAACUCAUAUAAAUACAAUAAUAAAUGCUAAAUAUUCUUGUUUGAGUAUGCUGCUUAACCCUCACUUGUAUACUUCUGGAAACUUGAAUCCUUUGUCAAAUUGACCUAUUUCCAAAUCUGGAUUAAGUAGUGAAUUCAUUUAAUAGGAGAUUAAGUUUUAUUCUGCUUGGUUAUGGUUUUGUUGAGAAACUAUUGUUGGAUACUCAUUCUUCACCCUUCUUUUUACAUGACUUGGGAGUUACAAAUCCCAACUGUCCUUGAGGUAUUUUCGUGGGCUGGUUGAUGUACUGUAAAAGGGCUGAUGGUUGUGUUCUGGUGUCCAUGUGAUCAAUGAGCUGCUGCAUCUUUUAGCUGAAAUGUGCUGCCCUCAAAGGCCGGAGGAUGUUGUUUUCUUGAGUUGUGAACUUGAUGCAAAGUUGUUACGCUUGAUAUGAUUGCUGUUUUUUUAGGGAAAAGUGGUUGUACUUGAAUAAGUUCACUGCAGCUCGUUGCUACUGGUUUCCUGCCAUUUGUUGUUGACUUUCAAGGGCAAAAUUUUGCUACACUUUAAGGCAGAUCACUGUUGCACUCUGAUGAGUUGUUUUGUCAUUACCUUGUUACUGCUAUACGAUUGAUGAGACUGUUGUGAUUAGUUUUCUGUUGUGGUGUUUUUCAAGGCAAAACUUGCAACAUUUUUGGCUAACUAGUCGAGACACUUUGAUGAAGAACAAAUGUUAUUCUUAGGUUGAACUUACUUA